GCUGUACGUAGGAUGCCUCGUUCUUCUUGUUCACAAUCCCUGUAACAUUAAAUGAACCCAUGCUUCUAUACCUGGGUCUGCGGCACAGCAUCGGUAGAAAAAGUAGAGGUUCACUGAAAUGCAGAUGUACGGCAGGAAAAUAAAGGGCCGGCUUAUUUCCAGCUCCAGGCAGUAGCCGAGCACUUCCCAACUGUAUUCGGCAAACACCAGGAUGUCUAAAAUCAAGUGCAGGAUGACAAAGGCUCCAUUCCUGUUGGGGAAACAAUAUCUGUAACCUUGUUAUGAGCUGAAGGGGACUGAUCAAAGGCUGGACCAAAAAGGGGGGAGCUUGAACUGAAAAAAAUGACAACCCCCAUCCUAAACUAAACCAGGUCUGGCCUCACUCCCACUGUAUACCGACUGGAGAAACAGCAGAUGACUCUUGCCAGUUGGGCAAAAAAACACCAGGUGGCGCUGUUACAAAAUGUAUUAUAUUAGCAAUUUAUAAUUGUCCAAAAUUGUAUCUUGGAAACAAAAGAAAAAAAAUAAUCAAUGUAAAUUGCAGAUGUUUCCAUCAAGGUUUUUUCUGGGUUUUUUGUUUUUUUUUUUUUUUUUUUAAAUGGCCUGGGUCUGGUUGUACUUGUUAAAGUUAUGGUUAAGCUUCUCUUGUCUGGCAUGUAUUGAUUAAAGCAAGUUAUACACCA